rnacentral:rRNA from 1 species
GACGAACGCUGGCGGCGUGCUUAACACAUGCAAGUCGAACGGAAAGGUCCUGCUUUUGUGGGGUGCUCGAGUGGCGAACGGGUGAGUAACACGUGAGUAACCUGUCCUUGACUUUGGGAGAACUUCAGGAAACUGGGGCUAAUACCGGAUAGGAGCUCCUGCUGCAUGGUGGGGGUUGGAAAGUUUCGGCGGUUGGGGAUGGACUCGCGGCUUAUCCGCUUGUUGGUGGGGUAGUGGCUUACCAAGGCUAUGACGGGUAGCCGGCCUGAGAGGGUGACCGGCCACAUUGGGACUGAGAUACGGCCCAGACUCCUACGGGAGGCAGCAGUGGGGAAUAUUACACAGUGGGCGGAAGCCUGAUGCAGCAACGCCGCGUGCGGGAUGACGGGCUGCGGGUUGUAAACCGAUGUCGCCUGAGACGAAGCGUGAGUGACGGUAAUGGGUAAAGAAGCACCGGCUAACUACGUG